rnacentral:rRNA from 1 species
AAUAGCCGCAAUUCGUGCUAAGGUAGCAUAAUCAUUUGUCUUUUAAAUGAAGACUAGAACAAAAGACUUAACAUUUAAAUUCUUAUUUAUUUUAAUUUAAAUUAAAAUUUUCUUAAAUGUAAUAAGACAUUUAUUAAUAAAAUAGACGAAAAGACCCUAUUAAACUUAACUUUAGUUAAACUGGGGAAGUAAAUUAAUUAUUAUUUUAAUUUUUUUAAUUACAAAAUUAUCUAUAAUUUAUAAUAAAUAAUGUUACUAUAGGGAUAACAGCAUAAUUAUUAUUAAAAGUCCUUAUUUAAAUAAUAGAUUAUGACCUCGAUGUUGAAUUAAUUUUCUAAUAAAAGCAAUAUUUUAAAAAGAAAGUCUGUUCGACUUUUAAAAAAUUACGUGAUCUGAGUUCAGACCGGAGAGAUUUAUAGGGUUUACGACCUCGAUGUUGGAUCAGGACAUCCCGAUGGUGCAGCCGCUAUUAAAGGUUCGUUUGUUCAACGAUUAAAGUCCUACGUGAUCUGAGUUCAAACCGGAGA